UACAAGGUGCUGCAUGGUUGUCGUCAGCUCGUGCCGUGAGGUGUCGGGUUAAGUCCCAUAACGAGCGCAACCCUUAUCGUUAGUUGCCAUCUGGUAAAGCAGGGGACUCUAGCGAAACUGCCACCGUAAGGUGAGAGGAAGGUGGGGAUGACGUCAAAUCAGCACGGCCCUUAUGUCCAGGGCUACACACGUGUUACAAUGGUCGGUACAGAGGGCAGCUACCUGGUGACAGGAUGCUAAUCUCGAAAACCGGCCUCAGUUCGGAUCGAAGUCUGCAACUCGACUUCGUGAAGCUGGAUUCGCUAGUAAUGGCGCAUCAUCUACGGCGCCGUAAAUACGUUCCCGGGUCUU
rnacentral:rRNA from 1 species